rnacentral:rRNA from 1 species
AGUGAACGCUGGCGGCAGGCCUAACACAUGCAAGUCGAACGGCAGCACAGGGGAGCUUGCUCCCUGGGUGGCGAGUGGCGGACGGGUGAGGAAUACAUCGGAAUCUACCCUUUCGUGGGGGAUAACGUAGGGAAACUUACGCUAAUACCGCAUACGAUCUGAGGAUGAAAGCAGGGGACCGCAAGGCCUUGCGCGAUUGGAUGAGCCGAUGUCCGAUUAGCUAGUUGGCGGGGUAAAGGCCCACCAAGGCGACGAUCGGUAGCUGGUCUGAGAGGAUGAUCAGCCACACUGGAACUGAGACGCGGUCCAGACUCCUACGGGAGGCAGCAGUGGGGAAGAUUGGACAAUGGGCGCAAGCCUGAUCCAGCCAUGCCGCGUGUGUGAAGAAGGCCUUCGGGUUGUAAAGCACUUUUGUUGGGAAAGAAAUCCUGUCGGCUAAUACCCGGCGGGGAUGACGGUACCCAAAGAAUAAGCACCGGCUAACUUCGUGCCAGCCGCCGCCGUAACAC